UCACAUUCCGGGGACAUACAAUCGGCUGAUUUUAUCUUCUCUAACUACAUUUCUGCUUCAGAGGCUUUACUUGGUGGGAAUCAUCUUCCAGACUCCCCAAAGCUGGCUUCUGCCCAACUCACAAACCUCAUCUCACAUGUUGCUCUUUUCCCCUCUUUCACCAGUUCCAGGCACACAGACUUCCUGUCAGUUCUUGGUCAAGCAAGUUCUCGUCCACCUGAGGACCUUGUCCUUGCCUGUUCUUCCGUCUGCCUGGAAGGCUUUCUUCUGUCUUCUGUGCCUGGCUCCUUCCCCACCUUCCGGCCUCACUUGAGAUGUGAUCUUCUCUGACCAUCUUAGCUGAAGUUGGCCUCCUCUCCCUUAAUCUCCAUUGAGCUAAACAGUUUCUUUCAUCUAGAACUUACUAUAGUAAUUAUGUGUUUACUAGUUCACUGUCUGGAAUCGUUUACCCUAGAGCAGUCUACGAUGUAAAGCCAGGAUGGUCAAACUACAGCGCAAGCUUUGUUUUUGCAAAGCUCUGGAGCUUCCCUCUCUGCUGGUCACUCAUUCUUCUCUCUCCUGCUGCCAUAUGAAAAAGGACCCGUUUCCUUCCCCUUCUGCCAUGAUUGGACCUGGGAGUGCGACAUGGUGGCCUCAGGGGAAAAGGGCUCUCGUCUAGACCUUCUGACUGUCCUCUGGAUCUUCCUGGUGUCCAUGCGGGGCUGCUGCUCUGGGCUGGCCCCAGGGCCUUUGGCCAGUGUCCAUGAGGUAAACGUGAGAAACUUCUUUCUGGUUGGCUCUUGGCUACAACAGCCCCUGGUGGUUUUCCCCUGCUAAUGCGACCCCACAGGAUCCUAGGAGUUCUAGAAAUUGCUCUGAGUUUAGCUGCAUUUCUGUCAAAUCUCUGAGGCCUCUUUAGGAGGGACGUGUUUUUCUCCGGCCAUGACUGCUCCCAGGCUGGGCCCGCUGCUCUCAGUGCAGUGGCCUUCCUCUCCAUUCUGGGGUGAGAAAAAACUUUCCUUCAUGUCACACAGGAGCUGGGGGCAACUUGGGACAGGUCCCCAAAACUCUCUGUGUCUAACCAGGUUCUCCUGUCCCUUUCCCUUUGCUGCAGCUGAAGCCGUCCCUACCAGGUUGACAAGAAUUGCAUGCAGGGUUCUGGACAGGAAUAUAAUAAGUAUUAAUCAGGCCGCUCUUUGGCGCACUUCCUUUUUGCCGAAAAUCAUGUGGCACUAGAUCCUGACCAUUUGCAUCCCCCAUUGUUCUAUAGAUAGAAUCUCUGACAUUAGAAUCAUAAGGCUUUGGCUUAAGGAUCACUUAAGAUAUUUUUCAGACCCGGAAUUCCAGCAACCAGUUUGACAACUCCUACAGAGAAACAGGAUCCACAUAAGGAUACAGCUUCUUCAUAUCCCUGUCCCAUGACUUCACCCUGCGUUCUUCAACCAAUCAAUGUGUCAGGCCUCUGAGCCCAGGCCUGCACGUAUACAUCCAGAUGGCAUGAAGUAACUGAGGAAUCACAAAAGAAGUGAAACUGGCCGGUUCCUGCCUUAACUGAUGACAUUACCUUGUGAAAUUCCUUCUCCUGGCUCAUCUGGGCUCAGAAGCUCCUCCACUGAGCACCUUGUGACCCCCCACCCCUGUCCGCCAGAGAGCAACCCCCUUUGACUGUAAUUUUCCACUACCUACCCAAAUCCUGUGAAAUGGCCCCACCCCAUCUCCCUUCACUGACUCUAUUUUCGGACUCCGCCCGCCUGCACCC
rnacentral:lncRNA from 1 species